rnacentral:lncRNA from 1 species
AAACACUGAAACUACUUCUAUUAUGAUGAUUCAGUUUCUUAUGGAUAAGAGGACUCCUUUUACGCUUCCGUUUUGCUUGCUUUCUAAGGUUUCUCAUAUAUAACAUUCCCUUCCCGUGCUGUACCAGCUCCACCCUGGCCCCAGUGAGAACAGCUAGAUGUGACAGGCCUGGUGCGGUCAGCGUUGCCUCUUCUGCCUUCCUGCCAAUCAGUAUGGGAACGGACCUGCAGCAGCAUUGAUGAUGUGGAUGAACAUCUGAGUUUAAGCUGUUUUAGGGGGUGAGUAGUCACAGUGCAAAGCCACACACAGUCACUGUGUGCAUUGCAAGGGCUUCUGAGGACUUGUCUCUUGAUAUUUAUGAGUGUGGUAAGCUUGAAUGCUCUGUGAUCCUUUCCUAGUCUUAGACAGGACUUAUCUUCCCUCUUAUCUCAUCACAGGACUGUGGAAGAUGGAGAACUACUGGCCAUGUUGAACGGUUUCAUGUUCACAACCACUGCAAAAUGAAGGGGUUAAGAGCCCUCCACUGAGUUUCACUCAGGAUUUCAUACCCUAAGGCAGGCCAGGGAGGCUGGACUGAACUACUCCAAGUGGAAUGAGGUUCAGAGCCUGCCCUCGUUCACACCUCCCCUUCACUUUGCAAACAGCAAAGCUGAGACAAUGACGACAGCCACUAAGAGAGGAAGGGCCAAGUACAAUGUUAAUAUUGCCAACCUGCUGCAUGAGGAAUGAACCAUGCUUGUAUAAAUUAAUUGGGGUCUUAAGCAAAAUCGAGGCAUGAACAUACUGGUCUUACUUGCAAAAGAGAGAAGGCAGAGAAAGGGAUCCCAGAGGUACUGCAAGCCUGUUUUGCUGCUGAGCGUUCUGUACCAUGAAACCACAGCCCCAUGGAGCACAAGAACAACAGGAGUUGGCACAGAAAACUACAGAACCACCACAGUAAACAAGAGUGACAAAGCACGGAGCUCCUGCUCCCACCGGGGUCAGCAACCACCAGGGUCCUCUUGGCUGGUGUCGACUGAACCAAAAGGAAGAAUCAGCAGGAUGAUAGUUUUGACAAAGUGGAGGGCAGAGCUCUGGGAGGCGGUGUUCUGGCCUUACUUGUAA